ensembl:lncRNA
AUGAAGGACAUGGCUUCAAGAGGCAGGAGAAGCGACUCUAGAGACCGACACAGGCAUUCAGAUGGCAGGAAAAGCAGAAGGGACUCGAGAGAGAGAGACAGGGGAAGGGACUCAAGAGAGGGAGACAGGGGCUGGAAUUCAAGAGAGGGAGACAGGGGCUGGAAUUCAAGAGAGGGAGACAGGGGCUGGAAUUCAAGAGAGGGAGACAGGGGUUGGGACUCAAGAGAGGGAGACAGGGCCUGGAAUUCAAGAGAGGGAGACAGGGGUUGGGACUCAAGAGAGGGAGACAGGGGCUGGAAUUCAAGAGAGGGAGACAUGAAUUCAAGACACAGGAAGUUGGAGUCGAGAGAUGAUUGCAGGGAUUCAGAAGACAGAGGGAGCAAAUCUAAGAUCUGGGACAGGGAAUUGGGAAAUAGGGACAGGAAUGUGAGAAACAAAGACAAGGACACAAACGACCUUAGACAGGAUUCCCUGAGCCCAAGGAGAAGAUGCUCAAGAGACAGGAGGAGCAGGAGCAGGUCUUCUAGCUCCAUCUCAUCGUCCUCAGAGGGCGAGAGGAAGAUGGAGAAAAAGGAACAUCUCUCGAGGGUCCAGACCCUCCUCCAGAUAGUGGGGGUGGACUUGGGGAUUGAGGGGCUGGACCGACUGAACAGUAGGACCCAAGAGAUGCUCCACGGGACAAAACAUCCAAGUGGCAGAGGGGAUGGUAGGCAGCGACGACGGCACAGGGAAACAGACCUCACUCAAUCAGUACAGGAAGUUACUGGAAGCUACCCUGUCGGCCCUGCUCCCCAGAAUAUGCCCGUAUCCACAUUCUCACAGCCUCCACCAACAAACUAUUCAAGCUAUACAGCGAUGUAUCAUAACUCCUAUGAUGGCCAGGACCGCAGUGCCUCUGUCCAGAGCUGGACUGCUGUUGGGUGGAGUGGAGUGCCGCCUCCUGGCCCUCCCUGUUCCUAUGGCCCACCUCUUGGCAACAUAUUACCAGGGACCCCUCAGUUCACCCCUCCGCCUUUGAUGGUCACAGGCUCCCACAAUGCACCAUACCGGCUUCCACCACCUCAGUAUCCUCCGCACCUGGGACCUCCACCGCUACUACCACCAUCAUCACAACCCCCACGUCAUCUACCUCCACCCCCACAAUCCUCAUGUCAACUGCCUCCACCUCCCCACUGCCUGCCGCCCCCGUGUCCAACACUCCUACCUCCACCUCAUCUGCCUCUACGACCACCACCACCACAACCCCCACCUCAUCUUCCUCCACCGCUUCUCCCAGCUCUUCCACCCGCGCCACCCAAACGGGUGACAGCUGAGCCAAAUCUCAUGGUGGCAGAGAUGCAGGGGUCAUCAGAGAAGACCUUGACAGCAGCAGGCCGCCCACCUUCUCCACAAGAAAGUGAACCACCAGGGGAGAGCGAGGACGAUUCCAUAGAUUACGCUGUGUUGUGCAGGAGUUACAAGUAUUCAAAAGAACUUAUUGUUGCUUCUCAUCCCGAGUCGCAAGCUAAGCUCACCAAGAGGGAACUAAGAUAUCUGGCCUGGAGGAUCACCAAGAAGGCUAAGAAGGCUAAGAAGGCUGAGAAGGCUGAGAAGGCUGUCUGCACAUGCUAUGGCUAUGGGUGCAGACACUGUGGCCGUGCUGUAACUGCACCGCCUGCUAAGCUUGGUAGAACACUAAAGGGUAGGCAGAAGGUGGCGAAGGCAGGAUGUAGAAGGGGAAAAUGGACGCCUCAGAAGGCUGCUCUGGAUGUUGCUGGGACUGCUACUGCGACUGCGACUGCUGUGGCUUCAGCAGGUACAACUGGUGACCACUGAUGGUCCUCCAGCUUCCAAAGCUGAUGAGCAGCAACAGCCAUGAAACACGCAAUAAGCACAGGGAAGCUGAGCUAGCAGUAGCAAAAACCCAGACAUGAUUGGAUGAACUCAGUAAAGACAUGGUAGGGUAACGGAGGAAAAUAUUGACCCUGAUUGGCUGAUGAAGAAGGACAAAUACAGUGCCCUAUCGCUGGCCCUUACCCACAUGACUGGACAUGUUUGAGAGAACAUCCAUUAUUUUUCCGUUCUGCCAUAACCUGUUGAAGUAUCUUGUUCUUUGAUCUGUUUCCACACAUGACUUUUGACCAUAGACGUUUGGAGACGAUCUCAGUACCAUAUAGGGAAUCACCACACCCCCACACAAUCCCUAAACUCAGAGAAUGUGUAUUUCCAUCUUGAAUUUAAUUAAUCUCGAAUGUUUCCUACAUGUACCUACAUGUGUAUGUAACAUUUGACUUGUAAUUUCUUUCUGUUGUCUGUCUGUAGGAAUAAAGUUAUAAACAUUGCUGCUCCCA